UACGGGGGGGGGCAAGCGUUGUUCGGAAUUACUGGGCGUAAAGCGUGCGCAGGCGGUUCGCUAAGACCGAUGUGAAAUCCCCGGGCUUAACCUGGGAACUGCAUUGGUGACUGGCGGGCUAGAGUAUGGCAGAGGGGGGUAGAAUUCCACGUGUAGCAGUGAAAUGCGUAGAGAUGUGGAGGAAUACCGAUGGCGAAGGCAGCCCCCCUGGGCCAAUACUGACGCUCAUGCACGAAAGCGUGGGGAGCAAACAGG
rnacentral:rRNA from 1 species